rnacentral:rRNA from 1 species
AUGAACGCUGGCGGCGUGCUUAACACAUGCAAGUCGAACGAAGCACCUCUAAUCGAAGAUUGAGAAGCUUGCUUUGAUUGAUUCACCUUGAGGUGACUGAGUGGCGGACGGGUGAGUAACGCGUGGGUAACCUACCCUAUACAGGGGGAUAACAGUUGGAAACGACUGCUAAUACCGCAUAAGCGCACAGGACCGCAUGGUCUAGUGUGAAAAAACUCCGGUGGUAUAGGAUGGACCCGCGUCUGAUUAGCUAGUUGGUGAGGUAACGGCUCACCAAGGCGACGAUCAGUAGCCGACCUGAGAGGGUGACCGGCCACAUUGGGACUGAGACACGGCCCAAACUCCUACGGGAGGCAGCAGGUGGGGAAUAUUGCACAAUGGGCGAAAGCCUGAUGCAGCGACGCCGCGUGAACGAAGAAGUAUUUCGGUAUGUAAAGUUCUAUCAGCAGGGAAGAAAAAUGACGGUACCUGACUAAGAAGCUCCGGCUAAAUACGUGCCAGCAGCCGC